GACAGAAAGAACCAAAGCGAUGAGAUAAUUCCUCACACAGGCCAUCAUGACUCUGACGACUAAAAAACAUUGACUGGCUUGUAAUCACACGACAGUCUGGACAGAAUUGAAAAAAACAAGAGUCUAGGUCUACAAGUAUGCCUGCCUUCCUUCCACCAUUAUUUGCUGCUCAGAAUUAAAGUCUGAUUAAAGCAUGGCCAAGCAUCCUCUUGAGGGAGAAGGAAGGGAAAGGAAAGUGAUUGAAAGCACCGGGUGGAAAGGGAAGGUCUACAAAGAAUCCUGCAGUGAAGCUUGACCUCCUGAGGGUUGUGAUUGAAGUAUAAGGAACCAGGGUGCCUGAGCUAGAAGAGAUGGACAAAAUGUUUAAAGUAUCUUCUUAAAGACUCUGUUUGAAGGUGUUAGUAAGCAAUCAACGCUGUGAGGACUUGUGAAUCCCAAGUCCAGGAAAGGAGAAAGGCCAAGAGAGUCUUCAUCCAGUGCUGUCAACAUAAAAGAAAGGAGCAAGAUGGGGCAAAUCAGGACACCAUAUGCUGAGGAACAAAGGGAAAGACACAGGGUUUCCCACUCGGCAAUCAAGGCAGAAAGAACAAUUGAUAGGCAGAAGCUGCAUCAAAGACUGCAAAGCCAGAACACCUCAUCUCCACGUGGCAUGACCUCCAUUAUCAGCAGACCUGUCACUCACACCCACUUGGGAAGUUCCUGGUGGCAUUCAAAGAAGUUGACGCUUACCGGGCCAAGUGGAAGAGUCACGUUACGUGUUCUUGAGGCCAGAAGUCCAAAAUCAAGCUAUCAGCAGGGCUAUGCUCCCUCUGAAGGAGGUUCUGAAGUAUGAUCCCUGCUUUGCCUCUUCCAGCUUCUCAGUAGCCCUAGGCAUUUCUUGAUUAGGACACAUCACUAAAAUCUCCGCCUUUGUCUUUUUUUUUUUUUUUCACAUUUCUAAAAUUGCUAAUACAGAUAUACCAUACAUCUAACCAUUCCCUAUUUUUUUUACAGCAUCAUUGAGAUAUUGCUAUAUAACAUGUAAAUUUAAGGCAUACAAUGUGAUGAUUGGAUGCACAUAUAAUUGCAAA